rnacentral:rRNA from 1 species
GAUGAACGCUGGCGGCGUGCCUAAUACAUGCAAGUCGAGCGAAUGGAUUAAGAGCUUGCUCUUAUGAAGUUAGCGGCGGACGGGUGAGUAACACGUGGGUAACCUGCCCAUAAGACUGGGAUAACUCCGGGAAACCGGGGCUAAUACCGGAUAACAUUUUGAACCGCAUGGUUCGAAAUUGAAAGGCGGCUUCGGCUGUCACUUAUGGAUGGACCCGCGUCGCAUUAGCUAGUUGGUUAGGUGACGGCUCACCAAGGCAACGAUGCGUAGCCGACCUGAGAGGGUGAUCGGCAACACUGGGACUGAGACACGGCCCAGACUCCACCGGGAGGCAGCAGUAGGGAAUCUUCCGCAAUGGACGAAAGUCCGACGGGGCAACGCCGCGUGAGUGAUGAAGGCUUUCGGGUCGUAAAACUCUGUUGUUAGGGAAGAACAAGUGCUAGUUGAAUAAGCUGGCACCUUGACGGUACCUAACCAGAAAGCCACGGCUAACUACGUGCCAGCAGCCGCGGUAA